rnacentral:rRNA from 1 species
GGUUAAAGCCCGCAAAGAGGGGCAACCCUUUCCUUAGUUACCAGCGGGUUAAGCCGGGAACUCUAAGGAUAAUGCCAGUGACAAAAUGGAGGAAGGGGGGGAGGAGGUCAAGUCAUCAUGGCCCUUACGACCAGGGCUACACACGUGCUACAAUGGUAGGUACAGAGGGCAGCUACACAGCGAUGUGAUGCGAAUUUCAAAAAGCCUAUCGUAGUCCAGAUUGGAGUUUGCAACUUGACUCCAAGAAGUAGGAAUCGGUAGUAAUCGGGGAUCAGAAUGCCGCGGAAAAUAAGUUCUAGGGCCUGGUACACGCUCCCUGUCACGCCACAGGGUAACCACUAGAGUUAGAUCGUGGCUCAGUAAGUCGUAACAAGGUAACCACUAGGAGUUUUCCCGG